rnacentral:rRNA from 1 species
AACACAUGCAAGUCGAGCGGAUGAGUGGAGCUUGCUCCAUGAUUCAGCGGCGGACGGGUGAGUAAUGCCUAGGAAUCUGCCUGGUAGUGGGGGACAACGUUUCGAAAGGAACGCUAAUACCGCAUACGUCCUACGGGAGAAAGUGGGGGAUCUUCGGACCUCACGCUAUCAGAUGAGCCUAGGUCGGAUUAGCUAGUUGGUGAGGUAAAGGCUCACCAAGGCGACGAUCCGUAACUGGUCUGAGAGGAUGAUCAGCCACACUGGAACUGAGACACGGUCCAGACUCCUACGGGAGGCAGCAGUGGGGAAUAUUGGACAAUGGGCGAAAGCCUGAUCCAGCCAUGCCGCGUGUGUGAAGAAGGUCUUCGGAUUGUAAAGCACUUUAAGUUGGGAGGAAGGGCAGUAAGUUAAUACCUUGCUGUUUUGACGUUACCAACAGAAUAAGCACCGGCUAACUUCGUGCCAGCAGCCGCGGUAAUACGAAGGGUGCAAGCGCUAAUCGGAAUUACUGGGCGUAAAGCGCGCGUAGGUGGUUCGUUAAGUUGGAUGUGAAAGCCCCGGGCUCAACCUGGGAACUGCAUCCAAAACUGGCGAGCUAGAGUAUGGCAGAGGGUGGUGGAAUUUCCUGUGUAGCGGUGAAAUGCGUAGAUAUAGGAAGGAAU